GACGAACGCUGGCGGCGUGCUUAACACAUGCAAGUCGAACGAAGUGGCGAACGGGUGAGUAACGCGUAAUCAACCUGCCCUUCAGAGGGGGACAACAGUUGGAAACGACUGCUAAUACCGCAUACUGAAGGCGGGGAUUGCGUCUGAUUAGCUAGGUGGAGGGGUAAAGGCCCACCAAGGCGAUGCUCAGUAGCUGGUCUGAUAGGAUGAACGGCCAAAGUUGGACUUAGACACGGCCCAGACUCCUACGGGAGGCAGCAGUGGGGAAUCUGCCGCAAUGGACGAAAGGCUGACGGAGCAACGCCGCGUGAGUGAUGACGGCCUUCGUGUUGUAAAGCUCUGUUAAUCGGGACGCGGUACCGGAAUAGAAAGCCACGGCUAACUACGUGCCAGCAGCAGCGGUAAUUC
rnacentral:rRNA from 1 species